AGAUCAAGCUACAAAGGGCGCACGGUGAAUGCCCUGGCACUAGGAGCCGAUGAAGGACGUGAUAAGCUGCGAUAAGCUACAUGUAGGCGCACACAGCCUGUGAUAUGUAGAUUUCCGAAUGGGGAAACCCAUCUAGUUAUGCUAGAUACUGUAUACCGAAUACAUAGGUAUAUGGAGGUACACCUGGGGAACUGAAACAUCUAAGUACCCAGAGGAAGAGAAAGAAAAUUCGAUUCCCUAAGUAGCGGCGAGCGAAAGGGGAAGAGCCCAAACCAGGAACUUGUUCCUGGGGUUGCGGAUAGAUCAUAACGCUUUGAUUUCUUUAGUUGAAGAGAACUGGAAAGUUCCGUCGUAGAAGGUAAUAACCCUGUAGGCGAAAAGGAAAGAAAAGUAGAUCUACUCCAGAGUACCACGAGACACGUGAAACCUUGUGGGAAGCUGGGAGGACCAUCUCCCAAGGCUAAAUACUACCUAGUGACCGAUAGUGAAGCAGUACCGUGAGGGAAAGGUGAAAAGAACCCCGG
rnacentral:rRNA from 1 species